UGGUGUGUUGUACACCCAUGGCAGGGUGGAAAAAGGAGAAUUAGGGUUCGAUUCCGGAGAGAGAGCCUGAGAAACGGCUACCACAUCUGCGGGAGGCAGCAGGAGCGAAAAUUGCCCACUCCUGAUACAGGGAGGCAGUGACAAGAAAUAUCAACUCUUGGAUUUCCAAGAAGUGAAAUGAGGAUAAUUUACAACCCUUACCGAAAGCAAUUGGAGGGCAAGUCUGGUGCCAGCAGCCGCGGUAAUUCCAGCUCCAAUAGCGUAUAUUAAAGUUGUUGCAGUUAAAAAGCUCGUAGUUGAAACUCUGACUGUUCGAUCCCCGAGCUCUGUAGCCGGGGGCACGACAGUCAUCCGCUUGCAAAUAUAUGUUCGCCUUUAAACGGGCGGCUAUAUGAGCAAGCAAUUUACCUUGAAAAAAACAGAGUGUUCCAGGCAGGUUUGUCCGGAAUGCAUUAGCAAGGAAUAAUAGAAUAUGACUGAAGUCUAUUUAUUGGUUUGAGGCUUUAGUAAUGAUUAAUAGGAACAGUCGGGGGCAUUGGUACUUGACAGUCAGAGGUGAAAUUCUAGGAUUUGUCAAAGACUAACAAAUGCGAAAGCAUUCGCCAAGGAUGUUUUCAUUAAUCAAGAACGAAAGUUAGGGGAUCAAAGACGAUC
rnacentral:rRNA from 1 species